CUGUUACUUUGGCCUCCCAAGCUCUAAAAAGUGAACUAAGAAUUUUUCGAACAAGCUCACUAUUAGUAUAAGAUAUUUCUAAAUUUUUUAAGAUCAUUAAUAAUAUCAAUAAAUCUAGUAAAUAUUUCACUGAUUGAUUCAUUUUAUUUCAUUUUAAAUAAUUCAUCUUUAUGAACAAGCAUAUUUAUCUUAGAUUCUUUAACUUGGUUGAUACCCACGC
rnacentral:lncRNA from 1 species